rnacentral:rRNA from 1 species
UAAGGAAUAUUGGUCAAUGGACGCAAGUCUGAACCAGCCAUGCCGCGUGGAGGAUUAAGGCCCUCUGGGUUGUAAACUCCUUUUAUCUGGGAAGAAAUGUACUUUUUCUUGAGUACUUGACGGUACCAGAGGAAUAAGCACCGGCUAACUCCGUGCCAGCAGCCGCGGUAAUACGGAGGGUGCAAGCGUUAUCCGGAUUCACUGGGUUUAAAGGGUGCGUAGGUGGGCAGGUAAGUCAGUGGUGAAAUCUCCGGGCUUAACCCGGAAACUGCCGUUGUUACUAUUGGUCUUGAAUAUUGUGGAGGUAAUCGGAAUAUGUCAUGUAGCGGUGAAAUGCUUAGAUAUGACAUAGAACACCAAUUGCGAAGGCAGCUUACUACACAAUCAUUGACGCUGAGGCACGAAAGCGUGGGGAUCAAACA